UACGUAGGGGGCAAGCGUUAAUCGGAAUUACUGGGCGUAAAGCGUGCGCAGGCGGUUUUGUAAGCCAGAUGUGAAAUCCCCGAGCUUAACUUGGGAACUGCAUUUGGGACUGCAAGGCUAGAGUACGGCAGAGGGGGUAGAAUUCCUGGUGUAGCAGUGAAAUGCGUAGAUAUCAGGAGGAAUACCGAUGGCGAAGGCAGCCCCCUGGGUCGAUACUGACGCUGACGGAGCGAAAGCGUGGGGGCG
rnacentral:rRNA from 1 species